ACGGGAGGCAGCAGUGGGGAAUAUUGCACAAUGGGCGAAAGCCUGAUGUAGCGACGCCGCGUGAGUGAAGAAGUAUUUCGGUAUGUAAAGCUCUAUCAGCAGGGAAGAAAAUGACGGUACCUGACUAAGAAGCCCCGGCUAACUACGUGCCAGCAGCCGCGGUAAUACGUAGGGGGCAAGCGUUAUCCGGAUUUACUGGGUGUAAAGGGAGCGUAGACGGUAAUGCAAGUCUGAAGUGAAAGCUCGGGGCUCAACUCCGGAAUUGCUUUGGAAACUGUGUUACUAGAGUGCAGGAGAGGCAAGUGGAAUUCCUAGUGUAGCGGUGAAAUGCGUAGAUAUUAGGAGGAACACCAGUGGCGAAGGCGGCUUGCUGGACUGUAACUGACGUUGAGGCUCGAAAGCGUGGGGAGCAAACAGGAUUAGAUACCCUGGUA
rnacentral:rRNA from 1 species